AUUGAACGCUGGCGGCAUGCUUUACACAUGCAAGUCGAACGGCAGCGCGGGCUUCGGCCUGGCGGCGAGUGGCGAACGGGUGAGUAAUGCAUCGGAACGUGCCCAGUAGUGGGGGAUAGCCCGGCGAAAGCCGGAUUAAUACCGCAUACGACCUGAGGGUGAAAGCGGGGGACCGAAAGGCCUCGCGCUAUUGGAGCGGCCGAUGUCGGAUUAGCUAGUUGGUGGGGUAAAGGCUUACCAAGGCGACGAUCCGUAGCUGGUCUGAGAGGACGACCAGCCACACUGGAACUGAGACACGGCCCAGACUCCUACGGGAGGCAGCAGUGGGGAAUUUUGGACAAUGGGGGCAAACCUGAUCCAGCCAUGCCGCGUGCGGGAAGAAGGCCUUCGGGUUGUAAACCGCUUUUGUUCGGGAAGAAAUCCUCUGGGCUAAUACCCCGGGGGGAUGACGGUACCGGAAGAAUAAGCACCGGCUAACUACGUG
rnacentral:rRNA from 1 species